rnacentral:rRNA from 1 species
UGAGGAAUAUUGGACAAUGGGGGCAACCCUGAUCCAGCAAUGCCGCGUGAGUGAUGAAGGCCCUCGGGUUGUAAAGCUCUUUUCCUUGAGACGAUAAUGACGGUAUCGGGGGAAUAAGAUCCGGCUAACUUCGUGCCAGCAGCCGCGGUAAUACGAAGGGAUCGAGCGUUGUUCGGAAUUACUGGGCGUAAAGGGUGCGUAGGCGGCUUUGAAAGUUCGAUGUGAAAGACCUGGGCUUAACCUGGGAAUGGCCUCGAAAACUUUAAGGCUGGAGAGCGAGAGAGGAAAACGGAAUUGCACGUGUAGAGGUGGAAUUCGUAGAUAUGUGCAAGAACACCAGUGGCGAAGGCGGUUUUCUGGCUCGAUAUCUGACGCUGAGGCACGAAAGCGUGGGGAGCAAACAGG